ensembl:lncRNA
GAGAAACCUCCAGCCCGGGCCGUCUCGGUGUCCACAAUAAAGACAGGAAACCAUUCGUGCACGUCCUAGACGUGAGCUCCGUGCAAAACAAAAAAAUAAAUAACGGGGAGGUGGGAGGGGCGGAGAGAGUGACCCGAAAUUAACGAGCCAGGCGCCCCGCGAACAUCUUUCCCGCCCCCAAAACCAAGCCUCUGGAACUCAAACCACCUGGAAAUGGUCCUUCUGGAAUAGUGGAUGGGAUCCAGGGAGCUCCAUUCAUCUGUUCAACAAAUGUAAGUGCCAACUACAUUCAGUGUGCUGAAUUCCAAAACCUACAGUCAGAAUUCCUACACUCAAGAUGCUUAAAAUUAUACUUGCUAUUUGAAGAUGCUCCAAGAUGUGGGCUUGGGAAAUAGACAAUUAGAACAGGAAAGACCACAGGGACCCUGGGCGUGGGUGCUAAGUCUCACGGUCAUGUCAGACUCCUUGUGACCGCAUGAACUGUAGUCUGCCAGGUUCCUCUGUCCGUGGGAUUUUUCAGGCAGGAAUACUGGAGCGGGUUGCCAUUUCCUCCUCCAGGGGCUCUUCCAAACCCCGGGAUUGAACUCGAGUCUCCUGCACUGGCAGGUGGGUUCUUUACCACCGAGCCGUCUGUGAAGCCCCUAUGAUGCACCUAAAGCACAGGUUAAGCGAACGUGAUCUGUCUUUUAACAUGUGAAAUUCUCAGGACAUGUGUACAUGAGGAGGAUUAACAUGAAAUCAGAAG